rnacentral:lncRNA from 1 species
GCCCCGGCCAGGCCAGGCCCAGGCCCCCAGCGCUCCCCCUUCCGCUCCGAGCGGGAGGGGCUAGCGAGCAUGCGCAAUAAGAUAAGUGCCCUCUGUGUACCAAAAAGGAAUGUACUGUUUAUAGAGACUUCAAAUCAGCAGAAAAUUCAAAUAGUUAUAACUUUUCUUUAUAAUCCAUCAUGAAAAAGAGUAACGACAAGAAGCUGAUUCCUGCCAACUGCAUUUCCUGGGCUCAUUUAACCAUGCCCAGAAGGAAUUAGGACAAUGAAAGAUAAAAAGAUAAAGGAGCCAACAUAUCCUCUCCCCUUUGAUUCAGACGACUUCUCCACCAUCACCUUCUUCACAAUGGCCACUUUUCCUCUGCAGUUGGGGUUCUUCUUCCCCAGCAAUGGCUCCAGGACUCUGUUAACUCAGCUCCUCCCCAGUUCUAGAGGUAGACGGUAGAGGCUUCCUGCUAUUGUUACUCUGGGGUUCCCCUUCUUCUCCAGUUUGGCUUUCCAGCCCUUCCAACUCCUUUGUAACUAGUUCCUGGUAUCAAAUUCACUUAACUGAACUACCUGACUUCGGCCCUGAUGUUUGAGUGGACCCCAUCUCACACACUGAGGUUGACAAUACUUGGCAAGUUGUUAGGCGAAGAGCAAAACAAUAAUCAUAAUCAUAGAAGCAUUCAUGUAGGUAUUGCAAGGCUCACAUCUCCAAAAUGUCCAGUGGAGACAUGAAAUAAUGAAUAUGUUACAUAGUGACAGUCAUUUAAAAUUUUUCAAAAGC